rnacentral:rRNA from 1 species
GGAUGAACGCUGGCUACAGGCUUACCCCAUGCAAGUCGAGGGGAAACGACGGGGAAGCUUGCUUCCCCGGGCGUCGACCGGCGCACGGGUGAGUAACGCGUAUCCAACCUGCCUCUGACUGAGGGAUAACCCGUCGAAAGUCGGCCUAAUACCUCAUGGCAUCGUCUGCGGGCAUCCAACGACGAUUAAAGAUUUCAUCGGUCAGGGAUGGGGAUGCGUCUGAUUAGCUUGUUGGCGGGGUAACGGCCCACCAAGGCUACGAUCAGUAGGGGUUCUGAGAGGAAGGUCCCCCACAUUGGAACUGAGACACGGUCCAAACUCCUACGGGAGGCAGCAGUGAGGAAUAUUGGUCAAUGGGCGGGAGCCUGAACCAGCCAAGUAGCGUGCAGGAUGACGGCCCUAUGGGUUGUAAACUGCUUUUAUGCGGGGAUAAAGUGAGGGACGUGUCCCUCAUUGCAGGUACCGCAUGAAUAAGGACCGGCUAAUUCCGUG